AAGUCGUAACAAGGUUUCCGUAGGUGAACCUGCGGAAGGAUCAUUACUGAGACUGGGUGCUUCGGCGCCCGACCUCCAACCCCUUGUCUAUCUACCACUGUUGCCUCGGCGCGCUCCCCUCGCGGGGGGCCGCCGGCGGCCCAAACAUAAACCCUUCUUGAACCACGUCUUCUGAGAAAUAGAAUUAAUAAUUCAAAACUUUCAACAACGGAUCUCUUGGUUCUG
rnacentral:misc_RNA from 1 species